UACGGGGGGGGCUAGCGUUGUUCGGAAUUACUGGGCGUAAAGGGCGCGCAGGCGGCCGCCUCAGUCGAACGUGAAAUCCCCGGGCUCAACCCGGGAACUGCGUCCGAUACUGGGUGGCUCGAAUCCGGGAGAGGGAUGCGGAAUUCCAGGUGUAGCGGUGAAAUGCGUAGAUAUCUGGAGGAACACCGGUGGCGAAGGCGGCAUCCUGGACCGGUAUUGACGCUGAGGCGCGAAAGCCAGGGGAGCAAACGGG
rnacentral:rRNA from 1 species